GGAUCCAGACUUUGAUCAUNGCUCAGGACGAACGCNGGCGGCGCGCCUAACACAUGCAAGUCGAGCGGGAAGCUUUUUAAGGAUUCUUCGGAUGAAUUAAAAAGUGGAGAGCGGCGGACGGGUGAGUAACGCGUGAGAAACCUGCCCUAUACAGGGGGAUAGCCAUUGGAAACGAUGAUUAAUACCCCAUAUGACCACAGUAUCGCAUGAUACAGCGGUGAAAACUCCGGUGGUAUAGGAUGGUCUCGCGUCUGAUUAGCUAGUUGGUGGGGUAACGGCCUACCAAGGCGACGAUCAGUAGCCGGCCUGAGAGGGUGACCGGCCACACUGGAACUGAGACACGGUCCAGACUCCUACGGGAGGCAGCAGUGGGGAAUAUUGCACAAUGGGCGAAAGCCUGAUGCAGCGACGCCGCGUGAACGAUGAAGGCUUUCGAGUCGUAAAGUUCUGUUCUUGGGGAAGAUAACGACGGUACCCAAGGAGAAAGCACCGGCUAAAUACGUGCCAGCAGCCGCGG
rnacentral:rRNA from 1 species